rnacentral:tRNA from 1 species
GCCUUGGUGGCUUAGUUGGUUAAGCAUCUGACUUUGGCUCAGGUCAUGAUCUUGCAUUUCGUGGGUUCAAGCCCCGCGUCAGGCU